ACCCGCUGAACUUAAGCAUAUCAAUAAGCGGAGGAAAAGAAACCAACAGGGAUUGCCCUAGUAACAGCGAGUGAAGCGGCAACAGCUCAAAUUUGAAAUCUGGCGUCUUCGGCGUCCGAGUUGUAAUUUGCAGAGGGCGCUUUGGCAUCGGCAGCGGUCCAAGUUCCUUGGAACAGGACGUCACAGAGGGUGAGAAUCCCGUACGUGGUCGCUAGCCUUUACCGUGUAAAGCCCCUUCGACGAGUCGAGUUGUUUGGGAAUGCAGCUCUAAAUGGGAGGUAAAUUUCUUCUAAAGCUAAAUACUGGCCAGAGACCGAUAGCGCACAAGUAGAGUGAUCGAAAGAUGAAAAGCACUUUGGAAAGAGAGUUAAAAAGCACGUGAAAUUGUUGAAAGGGAAGCGCUUGCAGCCAGACUUGCCUGUAGUUGCUCAUCCGGGUUUCUACCCGGUGCACUCUUCUAUAGGCAGGCCAGCAUCAGUUUGGGCGGUUGGAUAAAGGUCUCUGUCAUGUACCUCUCUUCGGGGAGAACUUAUAGGGGAGACGACAUGCAACCAGCCUGGACUGAGGUCCGCGCAUCUGCUAGGAUGCUGGCGUAAUGGCUGU
rnacentral:rRNA from 1 species